UUGGCAAGGAAGGGAACAGAACAGCAGGAAUAUCCAUGCUAUGAAUGAAUGCCCAGGCAGGCCUAGCAGCCGCACCAUGAAUGCUUCUGCCUGCUUGCUGUAGAAACAUGGCCCAGCAUAUAUGCGAAAUGGAAUUAGGAGGGACACAUAGCAGUUAUUAGUGAUGAAAACGGAUCGAAUACGGACGGAUAUCAUCGAUAUCAUAUUUGUUUUCAUAUUUUUAGUCGAAUUCGGAUUCGAAUACGGAUAAUAUCAAAAAUGUCGGAUAAGAUAUGAUUGGAUAUCGACAUCAUAAAUAUACGAUUUAAGUAUUUGGAUACGGAUACGGUAUCGGAUGUUAAACAUUCGGACUCGGAUACGGAUAGAUCUGAACCUCUCUAAACGAAUUCGGUCUCGAAUACGGUCGGAAAAUAUUCGUACCGUUUUCAUCCCUAGCAGUAAUAGUGGAAAUCUUAUCAUUUCACAUCAGAUGGAUGCACAUCCUACUUCUGAUCUAUGCAUUGCAUACUCAUUUUUUUAUGGAAAUUGCAUACUUCAUUGUAAAAGUGGCGAAUUACAAUCAAGCAAUAACUAGAAACAAGAAUCAGGAACUAACUACAUCAUAGCCAAGUGGAAACAGAGGA
rnacentral:lncRNA from 1 species